rnacentral:rRNA from 1 species
UACGUAGGGUGCAAGCGUUGUCCGGAUUUAUUGGGCGUAAAGAGCGUGUAGGCGGCCAGGUAGGUCAGCUGUGAAAACUCGAGGCUCAACCUCGAGACGCCGGUUGAAACCAUCUGGCUAGAGUCCGGAAGAGGAGAGUGGAAUUCCUGGUGUAGCGGUGAAAUGCGCAGAUAUCAGGAAGAACACCCGUGGCUAAGGCGGCUCUCUAGUACGGUACUGACGCUGAGACGCGAAAGCGUGGGGAGCGAACAGG